CUGUCCGAGGGGCGCUGCAGCAAGCGAAAGCUUGUCAGGCUCGGACGGGGCGCGUCCCGCUCGGCAUCCGCCGCGCGCACUACGCAUCAACGGCGCCCAUUCGCA
rfam:Pseudomonas knackmussii B13 complete genome